GGGUCAGCAGUUCACCCAGGCGUCACCGCCCCGCAAGGGGAGCUAAACCUGAAU
rnacentral:ncRNA from 1 species